rnacentral:rRNA from 1 species
UUGAACGCUGGCGGCAGGCCUAACACAUGCAAGUCGAGCGCGAAAGGUUUUCGGACUGAGUAAAGCGGCGGACGGGUGAGUAACGCGUUGUAAUCUGCCCAGUAGUGGGGGACAACAGUCGGAAACGACUGCUCAUACCGCAUACGCCCUACGGGGGAAAGGGCGGGAUCUUCGGACCUCUCGCUAUUGGAUGAGCCCGCGUCGGAUUAGCUAGUGGGUAGGGUAAAGGCCUACCAAGGCUAAGAUCCGUAACUGGUCUGAGAGGAUGAUCAGUCACACUGGAACUGAGACACGGUCCAGACUCCUACGGGAGGCAGCAGUGGGGAAUAUUGGACAAUGGGGGCAACCCUGAUCCAGCCAUGCCGCGUGUGUGAAGAAGGCCUUAGGGUUGUAAAGCACUUUCAGUGGGGAGAAAGGUUUGUCACCUAAUACGUGAUGAAAUUGAUGUUACCCACAGAAGAAGCACCGGCUAACUCCGUGCCAGCCGCCGCUGUAA